UACAGAGGGGGCAAGCGUUGUUCGGAAUUACUGGGCGUAAAGGGCGCGUAGGCGGCCUGCUAAGUCGAACGUGAAGUCCCCGGGCUCAACCCGGGAACUGCGUCCGAUACUGGCAGGCUUGAGUCCGGGAGAGGGAUGUGGAAUUCCAGGUGUAGCGGUGAAAUGCGUAGAUAUCUGGAGGAACACCGGUGGCGAAGGCGGCAUCCUGGACCGGCAUUGACGCUGAGGCGCGAAAGCCAGGGGAGCAAACGGG
rnacentral:rRNA from 1 species